rnacentral:rRNA from 1 species
GACGGAGGAUGCAAGUGUUAUCCGGAAUCACUGGGCGUAAAGCGUCUGUAGGUGGUUUGAAAAGUCCACUGUUAAAAAUUGAGGCUUAACCUCAAAGAUGCCGUGGAAACUUUCAAACUCGAGUAUGGUAGGGGUAGAGGGAAUUUCCAGUGGAGCGGUGAAAUGCGUAGAUAUUGGAAAGACCACCGAUGGCGAAGGCACUCUACUGGGCCAUGACUGACACUGAGAGACGAAAGCUAGGGGAGCGAAUGGG